UACAGAGGGUGCUAGCGUUGUUCGGAAUCAUUGGGCGUAAAGGGCGUGUAGGCGGUUUGUUAAGUCAUGUGUGAAAUCCCUCGGCUCAACCGGGGAACGACGCAUGAAACUGGCAAGCUAGAGUACCAAAGAGGGGGGUGGAAUUCCCGGUGUAGCGGUGAAAUGCGUAGAUAUCGUCUGGAACGCCAAAGGUGAAAACAGCUCGCUGGGGUUGUGCUGACGCUGAGACACGAAAGCCAGGGGAGCGAACGGG
rnacentral:rRNA from 1 species